UCUGGGUCCUCUUCAGGUUUGAGUGCUUGU
rnacentral:piRNA from 1 species